AUUGAACGCUGGCGGCAGGCCUAACACAUGCAAGUCGAGCGGAUGAAGGGAGCUUGCUCCUGGAUUCAGCGGCGGACGGGUGAGUAAUGCCUAGGAAUCUGCCUGGUAGUGGGGGAUAACGUCCGGAAACGGGCGCUAAUACCGCAUACGUCCUGAGGGAGAAAGUGGGGGAUCCUCGGACCUCACGCUAUCAGAUGAGCCUAGGUCGGAUUAGCUAGUUGGUGGGGUAAAGGCCUACCAAGGCGACGAUCCGUAACUGGUCUGAGAGGAUGAUCAGUCACACUAGAACUGAGACACGGUCCAGACUCCUAACGGAGGCAGCAGUGGGGAAUAUUGGACGAUGGGCGAAAGCCUGAUCCAGCCAUGCCGCGUGUGUUAAGAAGGUCUUCGGAUUGUAAAACACUUUAAGUUGGGAGGAAGGGCAGUAAGUUAAUACCUUGCUGUUUUGACGUUACCAACAGAAUAAGCACCGGCUAACUUCGUG
rnacentral:rRNA from 1 species